AAAAUGUUUUGCUGAUUGAAAUUUCCCAAUUUUAUGCAAAAUUAAGGGGGGAGGACUUCCCUCUCCUUUUUUCGUUUUCUGUCGAAUCCUUCCCCCUCUUUUGUCCCAAACCCUUCCCCAAUUCCACCAGAUGCUUCAGCCAAAGCACCGAAGUAUGAGGUCAGAAUGAUCCUCCGGCCUUCCCUCAAUCAAAAAUUAGGGCUUGAAAUGAUUAGCAAUUUGUUAAAUCUUAUGUGCAGGGGUGAGGGCCUAAUAUUGAGAGCAGCAUCUAGAAUUCAAUUGGAUGCAGCAUUAUGCUAAUGAGGAGCUAUUUUCUCUAACUUCAAUCAAGGAAGGAUAAAGUUCUCCAACAACAGGAAACAAACUCAACUAAGGAGUUUGAAGGCAAAGGAAUAGUUUGGAGACAUUUUAUGUUAUUUUUGGGUCAUGUAUAUAUUCAAAGAAAAUGUAUUGUAAUGUAUAUUAGAAUACCUUAUGUUGUUUGACUUUUUAGCAAUGAAAAGUUCUUAUAUAUUUCUAUUUC